rnacentral:rRNA from 1 species
GACGAACGCUGGCGGCGUGCUUAACACAUGCAAGUCGAACGGAAAGGCCUGCUUUCCCUUGUGGAUUGCGGGUACUCGAGUGGCGAACGGGUGAGUAACACGUGAGUGAUCUGCCCCCAACUUGGGUAUAAGCCUGGGAAACUGGGUCUAAUUCCCGAUAGGACUGCAGGGUGGUGCCUGUGGUGGAAAACGAUUUUCUAGUGGUUGGGGAUGAGCUCGCGGCCUAUCAGCUUGUUGGUGGGGUAAUGGCCUACCAAGGCGGCGACGGGUAGCCGGCCUGGGAGGGUGGACGGCCACAUUGGGACUGAGAUACGGCCCAGACUCCUACGGGAGGCAGCAGUGGGGAAGAUUGCACAAUGGGCGGAAGCCUGAUGCAGCGACGCCGCGUGGGGGAUGACGGCCUUCGGGUGGUAAACUCCUUUCGACCGCGAGGAAGCCACCUGGUUGGAAGGGUGGUGACGGUAGUGGUAGAAGAAGCACCGGCUAACUACGUG